CUUCGGUUCCCACGCGAGAUCGGCCCUAGCCUCCUCUACCCUGCGCACCGUGCCCGCCCCGCCCCGCCCGACGGCCGUGACUCAGCAGGAAGGCGUGACCGGACCGGGCCUGAAGGGCCGAGAUAUGAUUUGAACACCUUCUGUGCGUGAGUUCCUACGCACAAAGUUGGGCCCAACAGACCCAGACCCAAUCCUCAAAGGCCCCGCGGGCUAGUGGAAGAUACCGUGAAGUCAGCAGUCUGCUGAGAUGCAGGGUCCUCCUCCCUCCAGUGACACAGUGCGUCUCAGAGAGCUCUCUGACAAAUGGAGACAAAGCCAUUACUGCCAAGAGCUGAUGGAGUUUGGAGCUAAAGUGUCUGCCUCACUCCUUGGCUGGGAGCCAGGACCCAGGCUUGGAGCCUGUGGGAGGCAGAAGUAAUGGCCCCCCGAAGAUGUCCACAGCCUAAUCCGUGGAGCCUGUGAAUUUGUUACCUUACACAGCUAAAGGGAUUUCGCAGGUGUGAUUAAAUUAAGGACCUUGAGAUGGGGGAUUAGCCUGGAUUACCCAGGUGGGCCUAAUAUAAUCACAAGUGGCCUCAGAGGAUGGAAGAGGGAGGCAGGAGUCAGAAAAGGAGAUGAGAUAAUGGCAGCAGUGGUCAGAGUGAUGCAACUGCUGGCUGGAAGGAGGUCAUGGGCAGGCAGAGAACGCAGGCAGCUUCUAGAAGCUGGAAAAGGUAAGGAAACGGAUUUUCCCCAAAUCCUCCAGAAGGAACACCGCCCUGCCGAGACCCUGAAUUUAGCCCAGGACCCAUUUCAGACUAGUGACCUUGAGAACUGUAGGAUAAGUUUGUGUCGUUUUAAGCCACUAUAUUUGUGGUAAUUUGGUACAGCAGCUAUAGGAAAUUAGUACAAAGCCUGUACGCUGGACCUGGAGGGCAGAGGCUGGACCUAGAGAGUUGCUACUGGCAAGUCCCCCGCCCUGGGGCUGAGAGAGGCUCUGGCAGGAUCCCCCACUUCCCUCUGCCCCUGGAGCUCCAGGUGAGGUGCCCCAGGAGCAGCCUGUGGGGAAGCCCCAAAGCUGCUUUGCUCUUCCUCAAAUCCCUUUCUGCCUCCUAUCGAUUUUUCUCUUCUAGUGACUCCGGCACCUUGCCAUGUGACCUUGAGCACACCCCUUCCUUUUGCAGAACCCAGAUUUCUCUAUGUGCAAAAGGCAAGCGGGGAUGGGCUAGGGGACCUCUAGGGGCCUUCCAGGCCUGACACUGCGAGUCAGCAUUUCCAGGAUGUGUGGGCCUGCUGAGAGCUCUCUGACCGUGUUCUUGAACCACCCUCCACCUCCAAGCCUUUUCCUCCAGCAAGUCCUAACCAGAGUCUUUCCUGCUGCCACAAACGAUGCACUUGUGCCCAAACACCGACCUCAGUUAAAAGACGGGGGGACAAUGCUUUAUUGACUUGGCACCUAUGAACGGGUGGCUACAGGCCCCCAGGGUUCUUUGCUAGUGCAAAGUGGAGGCUCUGUGGUGGGGGCAGCAUAAAUCAGAGAUGCUGUUCUAGCUGCAGGGAGGGGCCGCUGUCCCUGUCUUGGCCCCUCCAGUCCCCUUGUCCAGCCAAGCACCAUCUGAGUCUGGGCCCUCAUGGAGCAGGCCAGGGCAAGGACCCAGGUUCUUCUGCAGGCUCAGGCAGUCCAAGGUAAGAGCCGUAGGCCUCUCCUGCCUUCCCUCUUCUUGAAGAUCCCAAGAUGGGUAGGGGGAAGGGAGGGAAUCCAUUUACGGAGGGCUCCCGAAUCUCUUGGACCGAGGUCUAGGAAGGCAGGGUCGAGGUGCUGUAACAGGAGCCCCACCAAGGAGGAGAAUUAGGAAUCAUUCCCUUCCCACGUUUUCUGUUUUGGCUGAGCAGAAAGUGGGAGCUUUCAUUGAAUUGGGCCUACAAUAGCUGAUGACAGGUGAGGUCACACAGUAAGUUGAUGGAGUAGAGCCAGCCUCCUCUAUACAGGACCACACUGUCUGAGCAGGCUCUCACCCAGGCAAGGGAGGGAAGGGCAGAGUGAACUGCAGUUGUCACAGGAGGAGGGCUUCCUGGAGGAAGAGGGGCAGGCCACAGUAGGCUCCCAGAAGAGGUGGUCUGCA